UACAGAGGGUGCGAGCGUUAAUCGGAAUUACUGGGCGUAAAGCGCGUGUAGGCGGGUCGGUAAGUCGGGCGUGAAAUCCCCAGGCUCAACCUGGGAACUGCACUCGAAACUUUCGAUCUAGAGUGGUGGAGAGGGAAGUGGAAUUCCUGGUGUAGAGGUGAAAUUCGUAGAUAUCAGGAGGAACACCAGUGGCGAAGGCGGCUUCCUGGACACCAACUGACGCUGAGACGCGAAAGCGUGGGGAGCAAACAGG
rnacentral:rRNA from 1 species